AUGAAUGGAGAUGGUCACUCUAUUAAACCAAGUUAGGAAUGAGGUGAGCACUCUUCCACAGAACACUCGGCUAAUUUCAGCAGUUUGCUGCCCUCUACUGGAAAAGGGUGGUCCUCCAAAUAUCUAAGCAGGAAAUCGACAGCAAGGACAACUGCAACUAUGGUGGCGAUAUGCAGACUCAAUCGCUUUAGAAUGGAAUGGACCUUAUUGAGAAAAACAAGCAUGACAGCUGCCUGGCUUCAACUCCGCAGAACAGGAAUAUAGUUGGCAUCUGGCAAAACAAUGAAAAUGACAACACUGAAAGAGCGCAACUGAAAGGAGCUAGCCAGCUACUCAGAUGCAAGAUGUACAUUCCUAUAAAUAAAAUCUACAACUUUUUUAAAGAAAGAAAGCCCAAGUUUAAUGUGGGUUUUUUUCAUCAGUUUGGGAGAUCUGGAAUAAAAAUAUUCCCUAGUACAGUAACAGAGGCAAAUGGCAUCUAUAAAUGAACAUAUCCCACUUGUGGAAGAUAUACGGUACAUUUAAAAAGGACACUGAUUGUAGCUGAACACUGACAUGUUCAGUUGCCUGUGGUGACUAUUCCUAAAAAAAUAUAACUGGCUUAACCCUGAAAUGCCAAAUAUCCAUCAGCUCUUGAUACAAAGAAAAAAGCCACCGAAGUUUGUGUUUUAAUAGCAUAUUUGAUACAAGACAGAGAAAGUUAGCAUAUUGUACCCAAAUGGCAGGGCUCUUCAGCCUCACCCACCAAACAUACUUAGCCCCCAACUUCCAGAUGAAUUUUACUGAUCAACUCAGUGAAGGUUUGUAAUCCUAGUUUAAAUAAAUGUACAUGGCUGAACAAAUGUAUCUGCAUCCCAGUAUGACAAACAGGAAUUAAGACUUCUAGGUAAAGAUGACAUUCCCUGCAAACCUAGUGCAUAAAGGCCACACAGAAUGUAUUACACAACUCUCCUUUUUUAAACACAGAAAGCAAAACAAAUACACUUUCAAUAUUCUAAACCUCAUGGUUGCAAGGAAUACUUUAACAGCACGGGCAGAUUUUGCCAAAUUCUGAUUGGCAUGCCGAAGGUUAUUGAUGCAAUCCACGGUUGUCAAACAACGUAAUAGCAGGAAGCAAGGCUAGAAAAGACCUUUGCCCAAGAUAUUGAAAAUGCUGCUGCCAAUGAACAAAUAUUGGGCUGACUCAGGCUGCUUCAAAUGUUCUGGCCAAUGUUAAGAUAUCUAUACUAGUCCUAAUUCCUUUCCUGU